AGCGAACGCUGGCGGCAGGCCUAACACAUGCAAGUCGAACGGACCUUUCGGGGUUAGUGGCGGACGGGUGAGUAACACGUGGGAACGUGCCUUUAGGUUCGGAAUAGCUCCUGGAAACGGGUGGUAAUGCCGAAUGUGCCCUUCGGGGGAAAGAUUUAUCGCCUUUAGAGCGGCCCGCGUCUGAUUAGCUAGUUGGUUGAGGUAACGGCUCACCAAGGCGACGAUCAGUAGCUGGUCUGAGAGGAUGGCCAGCCACAUUGGGACUGAGACACGGCCCAAACUCGUACGGGAGGGAGCAGUGGGGAAUCUUGCGCAAUGGGCGAAAGCCUGACGCAGCCAUGCCGCGUGAAUGAUGAAGGUCUUAGGAUUGUAAAAUUCUUUCACCGGGGACGAUAAUGACGGUACCCGGAGAAGAAGCCCCGGCUAACUUCGUG
rnacentral:rRNA from 1 species